CGCUUGGAGUCAAAUAUAAAGCAAAAUUACAUUACAGGAAUGAAAAGUCUGAUAUUACUUUUAAUUGUGGUCAUAACUAUGACAUUCUCUAAAGUAAACUGUGUACCAAUUACUCAGCCACGGGCUGAAUCAUGGAAUACUGCUGAUCUUUGUGAGAAGUUCAAGAAACCAGGACAAAGUCCACCAAUAAUUUGUUUUUAACAUCUAUUAUUGUUUCCAGGAAUU